AGGAAAGCUCAGCAGCAGCUGGGACGUGCUGGUCACAGCAGAUGCUUGUGCUGUUUCUGUCUGGCUCGUGGUGAGGGCUCCUGAGAUGAGCAUGAGCUGUGGGGAAGCUGGAAAAAUGCUGUAUUAGUUCCAUCCGUGCGGCAGAGGUGUGGGAGCAUCCUUUUGAGGGUGUUCAGAUCCAUUUGGGCUGAGAUGUGGAUGUUGCUGAUGGGGACCAGGCAGCUCCUUCACCUCCUCUCUAAGGAGCCCAGAACCUUCUCUCUGCUCCCCUUGGGUUUUGGCCUUGGAGUGACACAAAGUGGGGAUCUAGUGGAACCAUGUUGGGGCAGAGAGCUCAGGGUUGAGCCCCAUGGACUGACACAGGUCCCCUGUGCCAAGAACCCACCUUCUGGCAUGAGAGAGAGCUCUGUGUGUGCCAUGGGCAGUGCUGCUGGGCUGGGCUGAAGCUGGAGCAAUUUCCCAAGGGCUUUGCUCCAGGGGAGGAUGGCUCAUCUGGGAGGAUGUUCUUUGGGAGAGGAGACAGUUGAGGCUCCUCCACCACAUGUUGCAUCUUCAGGUACAGGUCCAAUGGAGCUUCUGAUAGAGUAGAAAGCAGAGCCCAGAACAUUCCUUAAUCCCUAGCUGACUCUGAGCCCUUCCCUGGCAGAUUUUCCCCCGGGUGCUCUCCUGUGCUGUUCUGCUGCUCCUGCUGGUGGCCGUGCUGAGCAGAGGCAGGAGGUGCAGCAUCGCCAAAAUCCUGCGGCAGUACCGCGCCGUCAUCUUCCAUGAGAUCCAGAACCUGGUGAGCCGAGGCAGGGCUCUGCCUGGGGGCCCAGCCCUGCCUCUGGGAGUGCUGCUGGGCUGGGUGCAGCCCUGCUGUGGGAUGUGGGGAGGGAAGCUUAAUAUGGAGCUGGUUGCUUUGCCAAGGGUGUUGGGGAGGGGCUGUGUUUAAAUGGGGGAUCCUUGUGCCAAGUGGGAGGCACUGAUCCUGCGAGGUGCUGGAUCUUCUUGCUUUAUUUCUGCAGAGAAACCUGACUGGGUCGGUGUACAGGAGUGGGAGGGCUGGGCCCGCUUGUCAUUCGGACAAGGUGAGCACGGAGGGAGACGGGGCUGGGGCAUCGUGUGGGCUGAGCCCCCAGGGAGCUGCGGAGCCUCCCUCCCUGCCCGGGGCCCGUGCUUCUCUCUGCAGGACCACAAGAUCCUGCUGUCCAUCUACAACAUCAGCAUGUCUCUGCGGGAGGUGGGGGCCGGCACCCUGCAGAGCCCUGAGGAGCUGGCGGUCUGGAGGGUGGCCAGGAACACCAACUUUGUGCUCCGGGAGAACUGCAGGAAAAUCAGCAAGGCCAUAUAAGUACAUGGAUCAGAAUCCCGGGUGCUGGAGACCAGGAGGAUUGUUACGAUCGUCUUGCCUGACCUCCUGCGUCAGACGAGGGCUCCCGGCGAGGAGGGGACACGGGGCGGUGGCGGCUGGAUCCUGCGGCUGUGCGGGGCCGGGGACGGAUGGAGAGAGAAGCCUGGAGGGGAGCGAGGUUUGGGAAUGCAGCUGUGGCUGUGGAGAGGCUGGGUGCUCCCAUCACUGGCACCCAGAUGGGUGCUGGGCAGGAGGGAGCAGGAGCCCCAGAUUCAUCCCUGCUGGGCAGCACCGUGUGAUGGGAAGAAACUGCUGACAACACCACCGAGCUGGGCAUCACCCUUUAACCCAGCCUGGAGCUCCCUAGAAUUCCUCAUUUCCCUGCCAGAAAGCCGGGUUACCUGAGCAGCCCCCACUCUGUUCCAUCCCCUCCAACAACACCCACCCUCCCGCUGCCCGGAGGAGCCGGGAGUGAUCACCGGGGAUGUUUCGGGAGCUCCGGAGCAGCUGUGACCCCGCGAGCCCCGGUGCCGGCUGUCAGGCGGCGGGAAGGGGGCCAGCCCCCUCCUCCCCAGCCCCUCGCAGCCGGGUCCUGCCGGGUGGGGGGGACACAAAGCCCGACAGACGUCACCUCGGCAUCACGCGGCCCGAGUGGCCUUCUCCAUCUUGUUAGCACAUUGUGUAACACAACAUGUGGAGGCGCUGGGACCGCACACGCAUGCACUCCCCGACAGCCCAACCGGGGGGAAAAGAGGGAGGGGAAAAAAUAAAAAAAAGGGGGGGGGGGGGGGGGGGGGGGGGGGGGGGGGGGGGGAUGGAAAAAAAAAAAAAAAAAAAAAAAGAAAAGAAAAACCGAAAAAAAGAAAGAAAAAAAAAAAAGGAAGCAAUUUAAAUUUAAGCUUUGAAUCUUUCUCUUUAAAAUGUUCUCAUGGCUUCAUUAGAAUUUGCAGCCACAGAGGCUUUGAAGAACAUGGUAUAAGGAGUGAAACAUCUGGAAAAAUUAGGAUUAAUGAAAACAUAAUUCCCAAGACUAAAGGAAAGAUUAAUCCUGUGUUACCACUUGUGUGUUCCACAGCUUUUCCCCAGCUCGUAACACUGAACUUAUUAAAUUGCCUUGAGCUGAGUUUUCCUUUUCUCUCUCCCUCCCCUAUGGAGCCCAAUGGAAGCAGCUGAUGCCAAAUGUAAGGAUAACCAACUGUGCUGGCCAGCACUGGCAUGAGCACACCCAGCCCUGUGCCAGGUGGGCACUCACUGCCCAGCAGAGCUGUGGGGGUCCCUGGGUGGUGGUGGGGUCCAGUGGGUUUCAGGGUGGUCUGUGCUGGGCUGGUGGGUGCUGUACCCCAUUGGGACUGCACCUGCUGCUACCUGGGGUCCUGAGCAGGGGCUGACCAGCUCGUGGGAUGGGGGAUGCUGGAGAAUUAAAGAUAAAUUAAUGAGCCCCUUUCUGUGCUGCUGGAUGUUUGGGCAGGGUGAGACUGAAGGGGCUCUGAGGUGCUGGUGUCUCUGGGUGGCUUUUCUGCGAGAGCAAGGGUAGCCCUGGUGAUGUGCCAUGCUGUGCCACGCUGUGCCAUGCCACACGACUCCAUGCUGUGCUGUGUCAUGCCACACCAAGCUGUGCCACACCAUUUCAUGCUGUGCCAUGCUGCUGUGCUGUGCCAUACUGAAUCAUGCUGUGCCAUUCCAUGCUGUGCCAUACCAUGCUGUGCCAUGCCAUGUUCUGGCACCACCUCUGCUCCAAGAUCUGGGCUGUGACCAGGGAGUUGGGACAUGCCAGCAUUGUGCCAGCUGGCAGUGUUCAGCUUUGCCACUGCAGUGCUGGAGGGUACUGAGGGGGGGGUCGGGGGGUCACAUUGGCCAUGCCAGCCCCUGUUCAAGCCCCCUGGACAGAGCUGGCCUGAGGUCUUGGGCAGCUCCAAGUGGAGCUCAGCCAUGCUGAGGGACCCUCCUGGGAAGAUGUGACAGACCCUUUGUCCCUGUAAAGUCCUGCAGCAAUUCCUUUGCCACCAGCAAGUACCACCGAUGGGUGCUAGUUCUGGUUUGGGGUCACAUCAGAAGUUUGUCCCUGCAGCUUUAUCACCACAGACACUGAUCUGCACAAACGGGUGGGGCCAGGGCUGGAGUGUCCGUUCCCCAGAGCAAGAGGCUGUGGAAUCGUGGUGCUUCUUGGGAAGAAGGAAAACAAGGAGAGUCUACUCCAUUAUGUCUUCAUCCAUCCCACCCUGGGCUCAGAGAGGCCGGGCACUGCCUGCUCCACACCUGGGCUGGCUCUGCUGAUCAGCCCAGCCCAGCGAUCCCGGCAGCUGGAGCUUGCAAGGGUCGGGAUGCUCCGAACGAUGGGGACAGAGAGCAGCACCGUUCUGCGAGUCUCUGCUGGGAUUUGGGUGGGCUCCUGCCUGCUGGGUGCUCCCCACGGCGUCAGGGUGAGGAAACCAGAUGUUUUCUGCAUCCCCUCCUUGCCUUCUACCCCGGAUUAUACCAGGACUGCAUCUGGAUGGGAGCAAAGGUGUGUUUGAACCAUGCGUGGGAGAUCAGGGCUCGCUUGCCCCAGGCCUGGUCGGAAAAGACAGCUAUGCCCCACACACGGAGUGAAGGAGGAGGCAGCGUGCCCAGGCCACUCCCCAAGAAGGGGAGGCUCCCAAGGGACCCAACGGGGUCCCUCUCUCCCUCCUUCCCACGCUGCCGUCCCUCUCAGCUCCGGCUUGUUUUCCAGAGAGGAAACCGGCAACCUUGCUAUUCUUUUUUUUUCUAUUUUUUUUCCUAUUU
rnacentral:lncRNA from 12 species